rnacentral:rRNA from 1 species
UGAGGAAUAUUGGGCAAUGGGCGAAAGCCUGACCCAGCAACGCCGCGUGAGGGAUGAAGGCCUUCGGGUCGUAAACCUCUUUUCUGGGAGAAGAGACAAGGACGGUAUCCCAGGAAUAAGUCUCGGCUAACUACGUGCCAGCAGCCGCGGUAAUACGUAGGAGGCUAGCGUUAUCCGGAUUCACUGGGCGUAAAGCGCACGCAGGCGGUCAUGUAAGUCAGACGUGAAAGCUCCUGGCUCAACUGGGAGAGGUCGUUUGAUACUGCAUGGCUUGAGGUUGGGAGAGGGAAGCGGAAUUCCCGGUGUAGUGGUGGAAUGCGUAGAUAUCGGGAGGAACACCAGUGGCGAAAGCGGCUUCCUGGCCCAUACCUGACGCUCAGGUGCGAAAGCGUGGGGAGCGAACGGG